rnacentral:rRNA from 1 species
AACGAACGCUGGCGGCAGGCUUAACACAUGCAAGUCGAACGCAUCGCAAGAUGAGUGGCAGACGGGUGAGUAACGCGUGGGAACGUACCCUUUACUACGGAAUAGCUCCGGGAAACUGGAAUUAAUACCGUAUGUGCCCUACGGGGGAAAGAUUUAUCGGUAAAGGAUCGGCCCGCGUUGGAUUAGCUAGUUGGUGGGGUAAAGGCCUACCAAGGCGACGAUCCAUAGCUGGUCUGAGAGGAUGAUCAGCCACAUUGGGACUGAGACACGGCCCAAACUCCUACGGGAGGCAGCAGUGGGGAAUAUUGGACAAUGGGCGCAAGCCUGAUCCAGCCAUGCCGCGUGAAUGAUGAAGGUCUUAGGAUUGUAAAGCUCUUUCACCGGGGAAGAUAAUGACGGUACCCGGAGAAGAAGCCCCGGCUAACUUCGUGCCAGCCGCCGCCGUAAUAC